rnacentral:misc_RNA from 1 species
AAUCUGGCUUUUGAUUUCCACAUUUUGAAUUUUAUUUGUUUAAAAUUAAAAUGAAUAUAACAAUUCAACAAUUAUCUGAAUGGGAUAUCAAAGUUCAUGUGUUGGAAUGGCAUCUUAAAUAUUUAGGAUCUAUCAUACAAUUACUUCGCUGGAGAUUUACCUACUUCUUUAGGAUCUCUGACAAAUCUUAGUAGAUUGUUCUUGCAGAACAACCAAUUCACUGGAUCAGUUAUCUACCUGGCUGAUCUUCACCUAAUUGACCUAAACGUCCAAUCUAAUCAUUUCAGUGGUGUUAUUCCAACUCAAUUUCAAUCCAUACCAAAUCUGUGGAUUGAUGGGAAUAGGUUCCAUAUGGGAGACAACUAUCCACUCUGGAAUUUUCCUCUGGAAAAUGUAUCCAUUGGGAAAAAUUUUAGCGGACCCCCAACAACAGAGUCAAGUGCCAUUGAGAACUAUUUCAAUCCUGAGGCAGCUGAACACAAGAAGAAACGGCUAGGCCCCGGAGGAAUAGCUUGUACCAUGGGUGCAGCAACUCUUAUAGCGACUUGUGUAGCAAUUUUUGUUGCAAUCCGCAUCAGGCGAUCCCAUGUUUUUCCGGUCACUAAAGACUCUUCUCUAACCGCAAGUGAAGCAAGGCCACAGCUCUUGCCAGUCAAAUCUCCGCCUACAGUUGGCCCAAGACAUAUACCUCCUGCUUGCGGUGCAAGAACUGAGAAAAUUUCCAGAAGAAGAAACUUUGCUAUGAAAUACAAAGCUCCAGCAAGUGCUAAAAUUUUUACUCUGGCAGAGCUUCAAUUAGCGACAAACAAUUUCAGUGAAGAGAAUUUACUAGUUGAGGGAUCUCUUGGUUCUGUUUACAAAGCCAAGUUCUCUGAUGGCAAAAUAAUGGUUGUCAAAAACGUCAGCAUGGUAUCACUAUCUUUCCAAGAAGAAGAACAAUUCUUAGAUGUGAUUUGGAUUGCAGCCAGACUGAGGCAUCCUCACAUUGUAACACUUAUUGGCUACUGUGUAGAAAAUGGACAUCAUCUCCUUGUGUACGAGUAUAUAAAAAAUUUAAAUCUCCAUGAUGUUCUUCAUGGUGAAGCAUACAAACCACUGCCAUGGACCAUUCGUAUUGGUAUUGCACUUGGUGUUGCUCGGGCUCUGGACUACUUGCAUUCUACUUUCGCCCCUCCUAUUGCUCACGGCAACAUAAGGGCUGCCAAUAUCUUACUCGAUGAUGAACUUAAGCCUCGUCUCUGUGACUGUGGAAUUGCAAUUUUGAGGCCAUUGGCAACCAAUAGUGUUAAACUUAAGGCUGCUGAAUUAGCUAUUGGUGACACUGGCUACAUUGCACCUGAACAUGGGGAACCAGGAACAGAUAACACGAAAUGUGACAUAUAUGCCUUUGGGGUCUUGCUUUUGGAGCUUUUAACGGGGAGGAAACCUUUUGAUAGCUCAAGACCAGGAGAAGAGCAAUCCUUGGUGAAAUGGGCCUCAUCUCGUCUUCAUGAUGGUGCAUAUUUGGCACAAAUGGUUGAUCCAAAUAUCAGAAGAACAAUCACUCCCAAGGCUGCCUCCCGAUUUGCAGAUAUCGUCUCUCUCUGUGUUCAGCCUGAGAAGUUAUUCCGGCCACCAAUGUCUGAAAUUGUGGAAUCACUGACAUCCAUGCUGCUAAAAUUCUCCUAUGCAACAAGCAAUGCUUUAGACGGUACCUUGACUGAUCCUUCCGUACAACCCGCUCUCGCUUCGUGAGCUCUCCCACGGUCAACUGAAAAUAUUAUCUUGUUUUCGCAACUCUAGUUGAUUACUCUUAGCAGCAAUUUUGUAAUUCUGCAUUCACUUUUUGGUCCAGCACCCUUUAAU